UACAGAGGUCCCAAGCGUUGUUCGGAUUCACUGGGCGUAAAGGGUGCGUAGGUGGCUUGGUAAGUUUGAUGUGAAAUCUCCGGGCUUAACCCGGAAAUGGCAUUGAAUACUAUUGAGCUGGAGGUUUGGAGGGGGGACUGGAAUUCUCGGUGUAGCAGUGAAAUGCGUAGAUAUCGAGAGGAACACCAGUGGCGAAGGCGGGCAUCUGGGCUAACACUGACGCUGAGGCGCGAAAGCUAGGGGAGCAAACAGG
rnacentral:rRNA from 1 species